UGAGCAAUCUGCCCUUCUCAUCGGAAUAAGCGUUGGAAACGACGUCUAAUGCCGAAUACGACCUCCUUUCGCAUGAUCGGAGGUGGAAAGCUCCGGCGGAGAAGGAUGAGCUCGCGGCCUAUCAGCUAGUUGGUGUGGGUAAUGGCCCACCAAGGCGACGACGGGUAGCCGGCCUGAGAGGGUGACCGGCCACAUUGGAACUGAGACACGGCCCAGACCUCCGUACGGGAGGNAGCG
rnacentral:rRNA from 1 species